CCAAUAGCGUAUAUUAAAGUUGUUGCAGUUAAAAAGCUCGUAGUUGAAUUUUAGGCCUGACCGGGCGGUCCGUCUCUGGCGAGUACUGUUCUGUUGUCGGGUCUAUCCUUCUGGUGAGCCGGUAUGUCCUUUAUUGGGUGUGUCGGGGAACCAGGACCAUUACCUUGAAAAAAUUAGAGUGUUUAAAGCGGGCUUUUGCUUGAAUAGAUUAGCAUGGAAUAAUAGAAUAGGACGUUGGUUCUAUUUUGUUGGUCUAGGACCACCGUAAUGAUUAAUCGGGAUAGUUGGGGGCAUUAGUAUUCAAUUGUCAGAGGUGAAAUUCUUGGAUUUAUUGAAGACUAACUACUGCGAAAGCAUUUGCCAAGGAUGUUUUCAUUAAUCAAGAACGAAAGUUAGGGGAUCGAAGACGAUCAGAUACCGUCGUAGUCUUAACCAUAAACUAUGCCGACUAGGAAUCGGGCGACGUUAUUUUCAUGACUCGCUCGGCGCCUUAUG
rnacentral:rRNA from 1 species